GAUGAACGCUGGCGGCGUGCCUAAUACAUGCAAGUCGAGCGAACAGACGAGGAGCUUGCUCCUUCGACGUUAGCGGCGGACGGGUGAGUAACACGUAGGUAACCUACCUAUAAGACUGGGAUAACUUCGGGAAACCGGAGCUAAUACCGGAUAAUAUUUCGAACCGCAUGGUUCGAUAGUGAAAGAUGGCUUUGCUAUCACUUAUAGAUGGACCUGCGCCGUAUUAGCUAGUUGGUAAGGUAACGGCUUACCAAGGCAACGAUACGUAGCCGACCUGAGAGGGUGAUCGGCCACACUGGAACUGAGACACGGUCCAGACUCCUACGGGAGGCAGCAGUAGGGAAUCUUCCGCAAUGGGCGAAAGCCUGACGGAGCAACGCCGCGUGAGUGAUGAAGGUCUUCGGAUCGUAAAACUCUGUUAUUAGGGAAGAACAAACGUGGAAGUAACUGUGCACGUCUUGACGGUACCUAAUCAGAAAGCCACGGCUAACUACGUG
rnacentral:rRNA from 1 species